GAUGAACGCUGGCGGCGUGCCUAAUACAUGCAAGUCGAGCGAACGGACGAGAAGCUUGCUUCUCUGAUGUUAGCGGCGGACGGGUGAGUAACACGUGGAUAACCUACCUAUAAGACUGGGAUAACUUCGGGAAACCGGAGCUAAUACCGGAUGAUAUUUUGAACCGCAUGGUUCAAAAGUGAAAGACGGUCUUGCUGUCACUUAUAGAUGGAUCCGCGCUGCAUUAGCUAGUUGGUAAGGUAACGGCUUACCAAGGCAACGAUGCAUAGCCGACCUGAGAGGGUGAUCGGCCACACUGGAACUGAGACACGGUCCAGACUCCUACGGGAGGCAGCAGUAGGGAAUCUUCCGCAAAGGGCGAAAGCCUGACGGAGCAACGCCGCGUGAGUGAUGAAGGUCUUCGGAUCGUAAAACUCUGUUAUUAGGGAAGAACAUAUGCGUAAGUAACUGUGCACAUCUUGACGGUACCUAAUCAGAAAGCCACGGCUAACUACGUG
rnacentral:rRNA from 1 species